AAUUCCUGCUCUCGAUCCCCUUGAGCCUGGCACUUCCCCUUUCCCCUAUCUCCUGCGGCACCACCGGCCGCCGCCGCAGCCAGGCCAGCGUGGCGGCACGCCACCGAGCUAGCUGCAGCCCCUUCCCGAGAUCCACUACUACUCCUCCUCCAUACCGCCUCUGCCGGCAGCGGGCUGCACGAAUCAUCUCCAUCAACACCUGCUGCUCCCCCACGCACCGAAGAAAUCAAGAACCAAGGAACGCGAGCACGACGACCACCUGCAACAUCCUCCCCUUCUCCAAGUGCUGCUGCCCUCUCCUUUGGUUAAAUCCCCACCGAACUCUCUCUCUCUCUCUCCUACUUGUUGCUUGCUGUUUGUGUGUACAAGAACUGAGAAAGAACAUGCUGUUGAUCUUUGGAAAGUUAGCUGAGCCUUGCACUGUGUUAAACUCUCUCUUUAGCUUCUGGCCGAUGUGUGCACUUAAUUAUUGUUCUAUGUUAUAAUCUACUCUGAUAUUUGUGAAUGUGGCUGUGUGUAUACUUGUUGAUGUGUUUCGUGCAAUUUUCUAUCCCUAUCUAAAAACUUGCUUCUUCCCAGUCUUAUAUGUUUGCUGGUGAAAUUACUUUCUGUCAAUAUUGUUCUUUGUCUUUGCUUCUGCCCCUGUCUUUGAUGUAUGCUUGUCUUAGUGUUUUAGAUUCUAAAGUAAAUUGAAAAUACCAAAAAAAUAUUGCAGUCAUUCUGUACCUUGAAUCUCAUAAUUGUUUCUAUCCUUAUCUUGGAUAAUUGCUUGUGAUGUUUCGUGGUAGAUGAUCUUGUCUUGCUUUAUAGUGGGAAAUCUUCUCUUUGUUUGUUUUAAAUGCCAAAAUCCUUUCUUGUGAUCUAGCUUUAACCGAACAUUGUUGUCGCUGCCUAGUGCCUGUGGAGAAUCUCAACAAAAACUACUAUAUUUGCAUUGAUCAAAUUGGCGCCGUUGCCGGGGACUAGCAGCGAGCGAUUGUGUUAGGUUAUAGACUAGGUGUUUUUCCCCUUGUUUAGUAACCCCUAUUCUAGGUGUUUCUCUGUUUUCUAUUUGUUUCUUGUCAUAUUUAACAGGUUAUAUUAUCAUCUUGGUCAUGUCAUACUAUUCAGAUUAUUAUGGAUAUGCGAGCAGUAGCGGCAACAACAUAACAAGUCUUCAAGAUAAGAUAAAUGAGUUGUCUGGUCAGAAGCAAAUGUUAUCAAGUAAAAUAGAACAACACAAUUUGCAGCAAGGAAAUGGUCUUCAGGGAGGCCCUGCUAUUUUGAUCCUUAUUCUGUAGGCCAUCCCCAUACUUAUGUUGCUCCUGAAUGUCAUAUUUGUGGAUAUCAAGGUCAUAUUCCCGUCGAGUGUCAGCUGGCUAUCCUAUGCAGGGAUUUAGGAAUGAAGAGGCGAAGUCACAAGCUCAGUUAAAUUUUGAAGCAGAACAACAAGCUUGGUUUGAAGAUUUUAUGAAGACGCAGCAAGAGAAGAUGGUUCAUCCACAAUCAGCUAUACUUUCAGAUGUAGAUCAAGAACAUGUGAUUUCAGAAAAUGAAGAAAAAGUUGCUCAGAUUUGGGAAGAAGAGAGAUCCGAGAUUAAAGAAGAUGAUGCACUAGAAGACAAGACACACAAUGAGCAAGAGCUGGACUAUGGAAGUAGCAAAGAUAUAGUGGCUGCCAAUCUUGAAGAUAUUGAAGAUAAAGAGGCUAAUGGAGUGGAAAAUGAAGAUAAUGAGGAGAUUCAAGUCGACAUGUCAAUUAUCAUUCAGGAGUGUGAUGAAACAGGUUUAUCAAACCCAAUUAAUGACAUUCUUCCUUAUGAAUUCCCUGCUACUACCUUGCAUUGCUUGAUACCAUCACUUAAGGUAGAACUGAAUUGUGACUUUCUUAAAUUUGAUGAUGCAUACUUUGUUAGUGACAAUACUGAAAUUCAUGAUGAUGACUCAUGUUAAUCACAUGCUAAAAUUCUGCUUAUGGAUGCAUGCUCUAAGAUUACUCGCGUCUCACAUGUGAAUAUUUAUCAUUCUCACCUUGUGCUUUAUUGCUACGCUUACAUCAUUGGUUUUUCAAUUGAUGACUUAGAGGGUGUUGGUCCUUUGACCUCUCCUAGGUGCUAUUCAUAUGAUAUAACUGAGUUUAAUGUGAUAUAUCAUCAUCGCCAUGUUUUUUAUCGAUAUGUGUAUACCAUUGGAUACUCCAUUGAUAAUUUGGAGGGGGUUGACCCUGUCUCUUUUAGUUCUUGUUGUGAGUGUAUUUCAGGCAUAUCAUAGGUGCUUUGUCAGCUUGGAAAAGUCCAGAUUCGAGUUGACAUUCCUUGGGACCCUGGUGGAUAUGAGGUUUUGAGAUGGUGUAGCAAAGAGAGUUGUAUCACACUUGAAAUAAAAUGCUGAAGCAGAUGGGAUCGAGGGAAUCAAGAAGAGUUGUCGAAUUCAGAAGAUGAGUGGCUUGGUCUGAAGGGAAGGUGUAGUCUGAUAAAAAUAUAGUUCAAAUCAUCUAAAACACCAGGUGACUUGUUUCCAGUAUAUGAGAUCAUGUUUCUUCCAUUGCCUGCAACUUUUCUCAAACUGAUCACUGCUAUUCGUUAUUGGUCACAUCAUUGCUUUCUUGUUGAAGCUGUUCUUCUUUGAGAAUCACAUAACAUUGCUUUAACUUGUUGUUUUCUUACCGAAAAAAAAAGCUGCAUUAAUUUUUUUUGUGAUUGCUAUACUCCAGGAUCUUCAUAAUGAAAAGAUACAUCAACUUUCAGUUUAAACACAACAGCUAUUGGUGCAUGUUCUUAUUGCAGUAAUCUAAAGUAUACUUCAGAUUUGUUUUAUUUUCUGCUCUCAUUCCUAAUAAAUUAAGAUUCUGACAAAUCUGAAUGUCUCCUUAUGCUAGUUAGUCCUGUAUCGACUCAAUUGAUUAGUUGCUAAGUAGUAGCUAUGAUCCCGGGAUCUGUAGCUUGUGAAAACAGUGCUAUUGAUCAUAGGUUUCUUUACAAAAUCUUUUAUCCUGUUGCAAUUUGAGCUUUCAAUAAGUGGCUUGUCCACAAGUCUUUAAAUCUCUGAAUAAGUGGCUCAGCCACAGUGUUAUCCUUGCAAAUAAGUGACUAUGUCACAAUUUGUUUCAAUAAGUGGCAGUCCACAUUGCCUUGCUCUGUUUGAAUAAGUGACUCUGUCACAUCUUUAGUUUGGAAUAAGUGGUGCAAGCACCACAAUUUAUUGCAUUUCUUGUUUCGUUUUUAUUUUUGAAAAACCAUGAACCGUGACUCGUUACUGGACUGCUGUCAUAGUUUGAAUUCAGUUUGCAAAAUCUUCUUUAUUAGUUAGGGGAGCCUAAAAUAGUUUAAAUCUUCAGUAUACUUUGAGUACAAUAAUCAGAACAUACAGCUUUACCUGUUAAGUUUAAACUGAAGUUUCUUGGGUCCUUUUUAUUGUGACGGAAAUCCUAGUUGGAGUGAUUACAUACCUCGUUUCAUGCUGUUGUCUCAUUUGCGAUCUGUUUCCUCAUUUGCAUAUCUCUUUGCUUGAGGACAAGCAAAAGUUUAAGUGUGGGGGUGUGAUAAGCAUCAUAUUUGCACUAUUUUCUGGCCAUAAUUAUAUCUGAAAUCUUGUGUUUUGAACUCUGAAUUAUUCUAAAAUGCCAAGAAUUUAUACAAAUACUUGUAAUAUGUGGCAAAAAUUACAUUGUAGCUUUUCUUUUGCAGUUAAGUGCGAAAAGGCACAUACUCUUCUCAUUUUGGACGAGCUGCUGAUGCACCUAUACACCGAAGGACUUGAGCAUAAGGAAAGAGGAAAGAAAGGGCUGAAGUGAAGAAAAAAAAGACCAACUUGCAAAAGAAGAAGAAAGGAGAAGGGCCUGGAUGUAAAAAUGUCAAAGGGAUUAAACCCUAACUCCUGCUCUCGAUCCCCUUGAGCCUGGCACUUCCCCUUUCCCCUAUCUCCUGCUGCACCACCGGCCGCCGCCGCAGCCAGGCUAGCGUGGCGGUGCACCACCGAGCUAGCUGCAGCCCCUUCCCGAUAUCCACUACUGCUCAUCCUCCAUACCGCCUCUGCCAACAGCGGGCUGCACGAAUCCUCUCCAUCAACACCUGUUGCUCCCCACUCACCGAAGAAAUCAACAGCCAAGGAACGCGAGCACGACGACCACCUGCAACAUCCUCCCCUUCUCCAAGUGCUGCUGCCCUCUCCUUUGGUUAAAUCCCCACCGAACUCUCUCUCUCUCUCUCUCUCUCUCCUACUUGUUGCUUGCUGUUUGUGUGUAUAAGAACUAAGAAAAAACAUGCUGUUGAUCUUUGGAAAGUUAGUUGAGCCUUGCAUUGUGUUAAACUCUCUCUUUAGCUUCUGGCCGAUGUGUGCACUUAAUUAUUGUUCUAUGUUAUAAGACUCGUAACCUGUUUGUUCAUAUGUCAGGGAAGAUCUUUGAGUUGUUCUACUCUAA